rnacentral:lncRNA from 1 species
UUACGUGAGAGAGAAAGAGAGCGAUUCGCUUUGAAAUCACUUUGACGCGCGGGAUCCAGAGCUGCGAACGCGUGGAAGCGAGUGGGUCCAGGGACGACGAGGUGGCGCUGUCUGGCUAACUAACGCAGGCAGGCAGGCAGGCAGGCAGUGUCACACCGUCCGAAGUCACGGCGCCAUGUGUUGAUGAAGAAGCAGCUGCAAAAGCAAAAGCAGCAGCGCCUCCUCCUCCUCCACCUGCCAUCGCCGAUGUUCCUUUCUGAACGGGAAUCAUCCUCAUCCCUACUGUUAUUGUGGACCUUUUGAGCGCAAUCUCUUGAAAGUUUCGUGACACAUGUGUGGAAUCUGUGCUUUUUUGUGAAACUCCCGUAUUUCUUUCCUUUUUAGGUGCAUAUAUGUGUUGUUUAUUUUAUGUUUUUUGGCGAAUUAUGGAACAAAAAUCACAGGUAAAUUGCAUGCGUUUCUCAAAUUAAGAAUGAGGAAAUAAACAACCUGUUGUUCU